CGCUAGGAUCCCUUCGGGGUGACUUUGAUGCUGACGAGCGGCGGACGGGUGAGUAACGCGUAGGAAUCUACCCAGUAGCGGGGGAUAGCCCGGGGAAACCCGGAUUAAUACCGCAUACGCCCUACGGGGGAAAGGGGGGGCUCUCUUCGGAGACCUCUCACUAUUGGAGGAGCCUGCGUUGGAUUAGCUUGUUGGUGAGGUAAAGGCUCACCAAGGCUACGAUCCAUAGCUGGUCUGAGAGGACGAUCAGCCACACUGGAACUGAGACACGGUCCAGACUCCUACGGGAGGCAGCAGUCGGGAAUAUUGUGCAAUGGGCGAAAGCCUGACACAGCCAUGCCGCGUGUGUGAAGAAGGCCUUAGGGUUGUAAAGCACUUUCAGUAAGGAAGAAAAAGCCGAGCCAAUAACUCGGUAAUAUGACAUUACUUACAGAAGAAGCACCGGCUAACUCCGUGCCAGCAGCCGCGGUAAUACGGAGGGUGCAAACGUUAAUCGGAAUUACUGGGCGUAAAGCGCGCGUAGGUGGUUUGUUAAGUGGGAUGUGAAAGCCCCAGGCUCAACCUGGGAAUUGCAUUCCAAACUGACAGACUAGAGUACGAUAGAGGGAGGUAGAAUUCAGAGUGUAGCGGUGAAAUGCGUAGAUAUUCUGAGGAAUACCGGUGGCGAAGGCGGCCUCCUGGAUUGAUACUGACACUGAGGUGCGAAAGCGUGGGGAGCAAACGGGAUUAGAUACCCCGGUAGUCCUAGCCGUAAACGAUGGGCACUAAGUAGAGGGAAUUACCGAUGUUCUCUCUGCCGUAGCUAACGCAUUAAGUGCCCCGCCUGGGGAGUACGGCCGCAAGGCUAAAACUCAAAAGAAUUGACGGGGGCUCGCACAAGCGGUGGAGCAUGUGGCUUAAUUCGAUGCAACGCGAAGAACCUUACCGGGGCUUGACAUGUUAGAAGUAGGAACCCGAAAGGGUAACGAACGGUAUCCAGUCCGUAACUUUCACAGGUGUUGCAUGGCUGUCGUCAGCUCGUGUCGUGAGACGUUGGGUUAAGUCCCCUAACGAGCGAAACCCUUGUUUUUAGUUACCAGCGGGUUAUGCCGGGUACUCUAGAAAGACUGCCGUCGUCAAGACGGAGGAAGGUGGGGAUGACGUCAAGUCAUCAUGGCCCUUAUGCCCCGGGCUGCACACGUGCUACAAUGGUCGGUACAAACGGAAGCGACGCCGAGAGGUGAAGCGAAUCCUAAAAAGCCGAUCUCAGUUCGGAUUGGAGGCUGA
rnacentral:rRNA from 1 species